UUCUCCAUGAUGUCAAAUAUCUCUCCACACCUGAAUCUGCAUCAUCGACCAAUUUCAUCCCCUGCAAGAAGGUGUCAGUUGGAUAACCAAAGCUCUGCCAUAGGUAGCCUUCCAUUGUGUUGUCUACAACAACCAAAUAAUGCUUUUGCCAUUGCUUAUAACAAGACUCCCAUUUCUGGAAAGCAUGAAAAGUGGUGCAUGUGAGGCAGUGAUGGGAUCGUUUCUGUUUGCAACCCAGACUACAACUUCUGGUGUGCUCGUGUACCAUAUUCCCAAGAAUCUAUUUAGAGAUUUUCCAGCUCCAACUGUUAAACUCAGUAAGGAGAUGGAGUGAAGCAGGGAGCAGAAGAUUGUAGUGAAGAAGAAGAACGCCAUGUUCAAAUCCGAUUACAUGUCCAGCUCCAGAAAUAAUUCUGCUGAUCGCUCUUGGGUGAAGAACAAUACCGGAAAAAAAAGUAAAUAUGAAAUGGAAAAGUCAAUAGUUGAAUAAAUUCAAAGGUUGGACGAGACUGGCAACAGAAUCAAAGAAAUUCUUCUUUGAAUUUUCUUCUGCAUAAGUCAUAUGCAUGCCGUGGUAGGUUUGAAAUUGGUUAACUUUUUCUGGAACUUUGUUGGUUGCCUCACCAUAUAAAGUGGUUCAUGCCACUAUCUCCAAUCCAACGUGGGACACUUCAAUACACCCCCCGCACGCGCAGCGUGGACUAUCCCAAACGCCAUCUGUUGACAACGAUAUUGGGGGGACCCAUCAUUGGAUUGGGUUGGCUCUGAUACCAUGUUAGAAAUUAAUGAAAGCUAGAGUGAAGAUUUGAGAGAGAGAUUUUCUGUAUAUUGACUGAAUCAACUAAAACAAAAUACAAGGUACAAAGAUAUAAAUAGAGAUAGAGUAGGAAGCACGCAGGCUUCAGUAGCUUAACUAAUCAUCUUAACUACCUCACUAACAACUUUGUAACUUCUCUUAACAAACUAAAGCUAAACACGCUUCUUUACUAAUAUGAGCUUCUUCUUACUCCAACAAACUUCUACGCAUAUAUGAAAGAAAAAAGUCAUAGUAUUAAAUACUCCCUCCAGUCCCGCUAUUUAUGACACAUUACUUUUUGACACGGAGAUUAAGGAGAAGAAAAUUAGGAUAAAGGUUUGUGUGUUCAAUAUGUUUAAUAAUGAGUUUAAGGGAUAUUUAUCAUUGCUAUUUCUUGUAAAUGAAAUGCAGGCAAAUUCACAAAAUAAAACCAAUUAACAAAAUUGAAUGAAUUAACAAAACAAAGAGAGGGUGGAGAUGAAUCUUAUGAAUAAAAUUCCAGAAUCCAAAUAUCAGAAAAAAAAAAAAAAAAAAAUUCACCAAGCAACAAUAAAGAUUCCAGAAAUCAACAAUUCACGAAACUCACGAAAUUAACAAAAAUCAAGAAUAAGAUUCUAGAAAGUGUAUCAAAUCAAGAAUAAGAUUCCACAAAAAUUAUGAAAUCAAGAAUGAGAUUAAGAAUAAGAAUGAGAUCCGGAACAAGAACAAAAUCAACAAAAAACAACAGUGGUGUCGUCACACUCAAUCCGUCGUCGGGCCGCUGCUAUGGUUUCACUCAGAGGGAGUGGAGGCGCGACAGUGGAUAAACUCAGAUCUGGCGCCACACCGGUGCUAGGGUUUCACUCGAAGGUGAAGGAGGCGGCGGUGGAUGGAGCAGGCGCAAAGGAUGCGGCGACGUGGAGCAGGCGGAAGGUUUGGGAGGCGGCGGGCGGUGGAGACUCAGGCGCAAAGAGAGAGAGAGAGAGAGAGACGAUUGCAAAGUGGAAAUGACCUUGAGUUUGGGCUCGAAGAGUUGAGGCGGCGCUAGGCAGAGCCGACGAGGGUGUGGAGGCGGUGGAGGGUGGUGGCAGCGCUAGUUAGGAGAUGGUGGUGGAGGAAUGAAGAAGAGGGUAGAGAGAGAUAGAAGGGGCGUGAGUUUAGAGAGAGAGAGUGUGU